AUUGAACGCUGGCGGCAGGCCUAACACAUGCAAGUCGAGCGGAUGAAGGGAGCUUGCUCCUGGAUUCAGCGGCGGACGGGUGAGUAAUGCCUAGGAAUCUGCCUGGUAGUGGGGGAUAACGUCCGGAAACGGGCGCUAAUACCGCAUACGUCCUGAGGGAGAAAGUGGGGGAUCUUCGGACCUCACGCUAUCAGAUGAGCCUAGGUCGGAUUAGCUAGUUGGUGGGGUAAAGGCCUACCAAGGCGACGAUCCGUAACUGGUCUGAGAGGAUGAUCAGCCACACUGGAACUGAGACACGGUCCAGACUCCUACGGGAGGCAGCAGUGGGGAAUAUUGGACAAUGGGCGAAAGCCUGAUCCAGCCAUGCCGCGUGUGGGAAGAAGGUCUUCGGAUUGUAAAGCGCUUUAAGUUGGGAGGAAGGGCAGUAAGUUAAUACCUUGCUGUUUUGACGGUACCAACAGAAUAAGCACCGGCUAACUUCGUG
rnacentral:rRNA from 1 species